UCACAUCAGUUUUGUGUACGGACACAUCACGCACAGAGCUCGGCAAAAAAUGGUUCAAUGGGUCGUUUACCGGUCGCGCCACUCGUACGCAACCGGGUCGAACCAACACCGCAUCGUCAAAACUCUCGGUACGCAUUGAUGUGGCUCGAUUGUGAUUGAUGUGUGUAUGCGUGUGUAGGAUUGAUACUCGGCUGAUGGGGAAAAUCGGGAAUUAGGGUUCCUGAGGUGAAUUCGUUUAGGCGAUUUUUCUUAAUGUGCGAAGUUGGUUUACUGGACUACGAAGAAGAGAGCUGAUGGGCCCAAGUGCCCUGUCACUUGCAAGAGAAUCCAAGGGCAUUCGAAUUUUCACAGUUUGAGCGUUCAUCUGUUUAUAUAUGGCCUGUCUCAUUACGGGUUGUGGAUGCAAGUUUUUUGGAGGUAUAUUGCUGAUUCCGCAUCUGAGACCUGCUGAGUACAAAAGGUCGAGGUUGGCAAGAAAAACCAAAGGACAUUGAACAGUGCCUAUGUUGGUGUCCUGUCUGAGGAUCUAGCUUAUGUUCUUCGCCAUUAUACUUGUAUAAAGAUAAUCCAAGCCUUCUUGGUCGAGGAGCAGAGAAUUGUGAAGAAGUUACUGAAGCUUCAGAAGGCGAAGGAGAAGCUACCCGCAAAGAGUUAGGGCGGAACCCCUCGAAAGCUAAAAACUUUAUUGGAUUUCACAUGCACAAAUUCUUGGCAGGGAUUAGAGAUGAUACAUUCGCUAGUAGCAGAUAUGCCUCCAGUAAUAUUCACCCGUGCAACGAAGAGCGAGAAACGAGCAAUCUUCCGUCCCCGUAGGGUUUCGUUAGAUGAAUUUUCGGCACAAUUCUCAGCCGCUCGUCCAUGUUUCGGAGGGCAACACAAGGAAUCUCCAGCGGCGGAGAGGAAACCUAUGUUCGAAGUGUGUGUAUAGACUAGAGAUUAAUGCCCUCUCGAGUCUUGACAGCAUUCUAUGGAGGCCUCGGAAGCUCUUGAAGUUGAAGAGUCUUGGUGUUUGGUCUGAUACUAUACUUGUACCUUGAUGAGUGGAAGCACACCGAACCAUAAGUGAACAAUAUAUAUAUAUAUAUAUAUAUAUAUAUAUAUAUGUGUGUGUGUGUGUGUGUGUGUUAUUUUGCAAGAAACAAAGAGUUUCAGUUCAUUA